GACGAACGCUGGCGGCGUGCUUAACACAUGCAAGUCGAACGGAAAGGCCCUGCUUUUGUGGGGUGCUCGAGUGGUGAACGGGUGAGUAACACGUGAGUAACCUGCCCCUGACUUUGGGAUAACUUCAGGAAACUGGGGCUAAUACCGGAUAGGAGCUCCUGCUGCAUGGUGGGGGUUGGAAAGUUUCGGCGGUUGGGGAUGGACUCGCGGCUUAUCAGCUUGUUGGUGGGGUAGUGGCUUACCAAGGCUUUGACGGGUAGCCGGCCUGAGAGGGUGACCGGCCACAUUGGGACUGAGAUACGGCCCAGACUCCUACGGGAGGCAGCAGUGGGGAAUAUUGCACAAUGGGCGGAAGCCUGAUGCAGCAACGCCGCGUGCGGGAUGACGGCCUUCGGGUUGUAAACCGCUUUCGCCUGUGACGAAGCGUGAGUGACGGUAAUGGGUAAAGAAGCACCGGCUAACUACGUG
rnacentral:rRNA from 1 species